rnacentral:rRNA from 1 species
CCAAUAGCGUAUAUUAAAGUUGUUGCAGUUAAAAAGCUCGUAGUUGAAUUUCGGGGUUAGUAAGUUGGUCGUGCCUAUGGUAUGUACUGGCUUUACUGAUCCCUCCUUCUUGAAGAACUGUAAUGUCAUUAAUUUGGUGUUGCAGGGAAACAGGACUGUUACUUUGAAAAAAUUAGAGUGUUUAAAGCAGGCUAAGGCUUGAAUACAUUAGCAUGGAAUAAUGAAAUAGGACGUUUGAUCCUAUUUUGUUGGUUUCUAGGAUUGACGUAAUGAUUAAUAGGGAUAGUUGGGGGCAUUAGUAUUCAAUUGUCAGAGGUGAAAUUCUUGGAUUUAUUGAAGACUAACUACUGCGAAAGCAUUUGCCAAGGAUGUUUUCAUUAAUCAAGAACGAAAGUUAGGGGAUCGAAGACGAUCAGAUACCGUCGUAGUCUUAACCAUAAACUAUGCCGACUAGGGACCGGAUGAUGUUAAUUUUUUAAUGACUCAUUCGGCGCCUUACG